rnacentral:tRNA from 1 species
GUUAGAGCGCACCCCUGAUAAGGGUGAGGUCCCUGGUUCGAGUCCAGGAUGGCCCACAUCCAAAUUCUGGGGGCAUAGCUCAGCUGGUAGAGCGCCUGCUUUGCACGCAGGAGGUCAGCGGUUCGAACCCGCUUGCCUCCACCACCCGAGCCGAUGUCUAACUCUUGCGUCUCAAAAUGGCAUUGUGCUACGUUGAGACUCUGCGAGAAAUCAGCACCUUGAAAACUGCAUAGUGACGUAACAACGAGUAGACCACCAAUGGGUCGACUACGAAUGCAACGUAAUCGACCAAGUGUA